UUGGAGGGCAAGUCUGGUGCCAGCAGCCGCGGUAAUUCCAGCUCCAAUAGCGUAUAUUAAAGUUGCUGCAGUUAAGAAGCUCGUAGUUGAAUUUCGGGGUUCUUCCGUUGGUCAGGCUAACAAGUCUGUACUAGCGUGUAGAAUUCCUACCUUCUGGGGAACCAUCAUGUUAUUAAUUUAGCGUGGUGGGAAACCAGGACCUUUACCUUGAAAAAAUUAGAGUGUUCAAAGCAGGCUUACGUCUGAAUACAUUAGCAUGGAAUAAUAAAAUAGGACGGUGGUCCUGUUUUGUUGGUUUCUGAAUCACCGUAAUGAUUAAUAGGGAUAGUUGGGGGCAUUAGUAUUCAAUUGUCAGAGGUGAAAUUCUUGGAUUUAUUGAAGACUAACUUCUGCGAAAGCAUUUGCCAAGGAUGUUUUCAUUAAUCAAGAACGAAAGUUAGGGGAUCGAAGACGAUCAGAUACCGUCGUAGUCUUAACCAUAAACUAUGCCGACUAGGGAUCGGACGAUGUUAAAUUUUAUUGACUCGUUCGGCGCCUUACGGGAAAC
rnacentral:rRNA from 1 species